UAGUCCACGCCGUAAACGAUGGAUACUAGCUGUCCGGGACCUUGAGUUCUGGGCGGCCAAGCGAAAGUGAUAAGUAUCCCACCUGGGGAGUACGUUCGCAAGAAUGAAACUCAAAGGAAUUGACGGGGGCCCGCACAAGCGGUGGAGCAUGUGGUUUAAUUCGAUGAUACGCGAGGAACCUUACCAGGGCUUAAAUGCAUAUUGACAGGUCUAGAGAUAGACUUUCCUUCGGGCAAUUUGCAAGGUGCUGCAUGGUUGUCGUCAGCUCGUGCCGUGAGGUGUCAGGUUAAGUCCUAUAACGAGCGCAACCCCUGUCGUUAGUUGCCAGCGAGUCAUGUCGGGGACUCUAACGAGACUGCCGGUGCAAACCGCGAGGAAGGUGGGGAUGACGUCAAAUCAUCACGGCCCUUACGACCUGGGCUACACACGUGCUACAAUGGACAGUACAAAGGGUCGCGAAAGCGCGAGCCGGAGCUAAUCCCAUAAAACUGUUCGUAGUCCGGA
rnacentral:rRNA from 1 species